rnacentral:rRNA from 1 species
ACUCCUACGGGAGGCAGCAGUGGGGAAUAUUGCACAAUGGGGGAAACCCUGAUCCAGCCAUGCCGCGUGAGUGAUGAAGGCCUUAGGGUCGUAAAGCUCUUUCGCCUGUGAUGAUAAUGACAGUAGCAGGUAAAGAAACCCCGGCUAACUCCGUGCCAGCAGCCGCGGUAAUACGGAGGGGGUUAGCGUUGUUCGGAAUUACUGGGCGUAAAGCGCGCGUAGGCGGAUUAGUCAGUUAGAGGUGAAUCCCAGGGCUCAACCCUGGAACUGCCUUUAAUACUGCUAGUCUUGAGUUCGAGAGAGGUGAGUGGAAUUCCGAGUGUAGAGGUGAAAUUCGUAGAUAUUCGGAGGAACACCAGUGGCGAAGGCGGCUCACUGGCUCGAUACUGACGCUGAGGUGCGAAAGUGUGGGGAGCAAACAGGAUUAGAUACCCUGGUAGGAUAGCG